AGAUAACACUUGUUUUUACUUUAUAUUUGUAUUGUAUUUAAUUGUUUAAUCAAAUUUAGCAAGUAAACUCAGUGUUUAAAGCAGGUCAAGGACGAAAUAGCACAAUACAGAUAACGGAUCGCUAGAUAGAAGGUUCGCGAAUGUUCGUGAACCUUUCACGUCAUUCGACGCGAUCGUCCGUUGCCAGGCAACGGACGAGGCGAUCAUCUGUUGCCAGGCAGAUUUGGAGUGGAUUACGUAUGGAUGACGCGCCCGGUACAAAUUUGGCAGCCGGUACAAAUUUAGUGUGACAGCGGCAUGCAAACUUUUUCUUGAAGAAAAUUAUUGUUUGCGUGAGAGAGACAGAUAUAUCCCAACGUUUUGAGUUAUUAUCGGCGGCGCAGAGAACAAAGCUUUUUUUGUUGUUACCAUGGGUUGAUUAGCGGACCUUGUUUGUGACGGAAACGAAGUAGAACGCCGGGUCUUUUUGCUUUGUAUGGAUUCCUGGUUGAGAUCUGCAUGAAGAUUCUUCUCCCGCUGGGAUUUCUCCCAUCUCUGUAGAGGUAGUGGGGAACCUCAAUGAUCCAGUGUGACGCCUGUGGAAGCUGGUACCACGAGGGUUGUGUUGGGAGACCCGACAGAGAUAAUUUGUGCAGUCGUCCUGCAUGCCCCCAGGCUCAAAUGUGUUGAAACAAGUACUGUAUAUAAUAAGUUAUUUAAUAAUAAAUUGAUCUUCCAUAUGUUACUCUUGCUACUAUAACAUGGAAGAUAUAAUUUCAUUAAACCAAGGGUGUAGCCAUGGUUUCAAGAUUGGGGGUGACAAAUGCCUCCUGAAUUUAGAUCUGAAACUAAAUCGGAUACUAGAUUUCUUCUUCGAAGGUGGUGCUCCACACAGAACCUCCUCACCGU
ensembl:lncRNA